GUACCAAUAUUCUGCAUCCUUAGGAAUGGUUUUCAAUAAUUUUGGUAUUAUGUAGUUUUCACCCUUCAAAUAUUUUAAGUUACUAUAACAUGACCUUGUAGUUUCUAUUUCAAGCAAUGGAGAAUCAAGGUCAGCAUCUUGUUCAAAAUUAUCAAAAUAGUGGUUUUAUUUUUUUCACUUCUUAUUUUCAUUUCAUAUUUGUAGAAAGAGAUGAUUCUCCU
rnacentral:misc_RNA from 1 species